rnacentral:rRNA from 1 species
GACGAACCGUGCGAACGUUGUUCGGAUUCACUGGGCUUAAAGGGCGCGUAGGCGGGCGGUCAAGUCGGGGGUGAAAUCUUUCAGCUUAACUGGAAAAGUGCCUCCGAUACUGAUCGCCUCGAGGGAGGUAGGGGCAUGUGGAACUUCCGGUGGAGCGGUGAAAUGCGUAGAUAUCAGGAGGAACACCGGUGGCGAAGGCGGGUCUCUGGGCAGUAACUGACGCUGAGGAGCGAAAGCAUGGGGAGCGAACAGG